CCUACGGGUGGCUGCAGUGGGGAAUAUUGGACAAUGGGGGGAACCCUGAUCCAGCCAUGCCGCGUGUGUGAAGAAGGCCCUCGGGUUGUAAAGCACUUUCAGUGAGGAAGAACGCCUGGUGGUUAAUACCCAUCAGGAAAGACAUCACUCACAGAAGAAGCACCGGCUAACUGCGUGCCAGCAGCCGCGGUAAUACGGAGGGUGCGAGCGUUAAUCGGAAUUACUGGGCGUAAAGCGCGCGUAGGUGGCUUGAUAAGCCGGUUGUGAAAGCCCCGGGCUCAACCUGGGAACGGCAUCCGGAACUGUCAAGCUAGAGUGCAGGAGAGGAAGGUAGAAUUCCCGGUGUAGCGGUGAAAUGCGUAGAGAUCGGGAGGAAUACCAGUGGCGAAGGCGGCCUUCUGGACUGACACUGCCACUGAGGUGCGAAAGCGUGGGUAGCAAACAGGAUUAGAUACCCCAGUAGUC
rnacentral:rRNA from 1 species